AGUGGCUUUUCCCGCCAAUCCGCGGGCUGCACAGUGGCCCACGGCGUGGCUCCUGCAGAUCCACCAAUCUCAGGGUCUGGUUCCUGAUGAACUUCAAUCUCCCAGAAUGCUUAGUGCAACAGCCGAGUGCCGUUGGGAAACUACACCUCCCAUGAAACCCUGCAGUAUAACCUUGAACUAUCAGCACGGAGCCAUACAUAAGUACCUCAGGGCCAGUGGCGCAAUGGAUAACGCGUCUGACUACGGAUCAGAAGAUUCCAGGUUCGACUCCUGGCUGGCUCGGUCCUAGGUUGGCUGGGUUCCGCAGUCAUCUAAUGUCAGGUUUUCCCGUAACUACCUUCAGAGGUGUUUUUCUUGUGUCAAUUGAGAAAACUGGGUUAAUGGCUGGUGCUAUUAAAAUGGGCUUUGUCACUUUACAAUGCUACAUAUUAAAA